rnacentral:sRNA from 1 species
GCUUUCUUUACCAUGCAAGUCGAGCGGCAGCGCGGGGCAACCUGGCGGCGAGCGGCUUUCCCGUGAGUAAUGCAUCGGAACAUGUCCAUGUCGUGGGGGAUAGCCCGGCGAAAGCCGGAUUAAUACCGCAUACGCCCGAGAGGGGAAAGCCGGGGACCGCAAGGCCUGGCGCGAUUGGGUUGGCCGAUGUCCGAUUAGCUAGUUGGCGGGGUAAAGGCCCACCAAGGCGAUGAUCGGUAGCUGGUCUGAGAGGAUGAUCAGCCACACUGGGACUGAGACACGGCCCAGACUCCUACGGGAGGCAGCAGUGGG